CCCAUGUUCUCCAAUACGUAAUUUGUGAAUAUUUUGUUGGAUUAUCUUUUUCCUUAUCUGUUUUUAUAAAUCGUCAAUAAUCUGCGAAGAUGGUAGCUGUUUAUUGGUGUCUUGAAGGCUGUUAGAAAAUGCUCCAAAGAUUUUUCUUAUCUGUAAAAAGUAUUUAUAUAAACAAUAAACGACAAGUAAUAUAUAUAUUUAUAUGUAUUUUUGUGUAGUUGUGUCAUUUAUCCCUAUUAUC